rnacentral:rRNA from 1 species
GAUGAACGCUGGCGGCGUGCCUAAUACAUGCAAGUCGAGCGAACAGACGAGGAGCUUGCUCCUCUGACGUUAGCGGCGGACGGGUGAGUAACACGUGGAUAACCUACCUAUAAGACUGGGAUAACUUCGGGAAACCGGAGCUAAUACCGGAUAAUAUAUUGAACCGCAUGGUUCAAUAGUGAAAGACGGUUUUGCUGUCACUUAUAGAUGGAUCCGCGCCGCAUUAGCUAGUUGGUAAGGUAACGGCUUACCAAGGCAACGAUGCGUAGCCGACCUGAGAGGGUGACGGGCCACACUGGAACUGGAACCCGGCCCAGCCUCCUCGGGGGGGCAGCAGAGGGGAUUUUUCGGCAAUGGGCGAAGCCCGGAGGGAGCACCGCCGGGGGGGUAAUAAAGGUCUAGGUAUCAAAAAACUUUUUUAUGGGGGAGAAAAAAAUGUGAAAGAAACUUUGCACUUCUUGAGGGUCCCUAAUAAGAAAGCCGCGGCAAACUCCGUC